AUGUUUGCUUCAGCAGCAUGUAUACUAAAAUUGGAACAACCCAGAGAAGAUUAGCAUGGACCCUGCACAAGGAUGGCAUUCAAACUCACAAAAUGUUCCAUAUUGCU
ensembl:snRNA U6 U6 spliceosomal RNA